ACCCGCACAAGCGGUGGAUGAUGUGGAUUAAUUCGAUGCAACGCGAAAACCUUACCUACCCUUGACAUGUCCGGAAUCCCGAAGAGAUUUGGGAGUGCUCGCAAGAGAGCCGGAACACAGGUGCUGCAUGGCUGUCGUCAGCUCGUGUCGUGAGAUGUUGGGUUAAGUCCCGCAACGAGCGCAACCCUUGUCAUUAGUUGCUACAUUCAGUUGGGCACUCUAAUGAGACUGCCGGUGACAAGCCGGAGGAAGGUGGGGAUGACGUCAAGUCCUCAUGGCCCUUAUAGGUGGGGCUACACACGUCAUACAAUGGCUGGUACAAAGGGUUGCCAACCCGCGAGGGGGAGCCAAUCCCAUAAAGCCAGUCGUAGUCCGGAUCGUAGUCUGCAACUCGACUGCGUGAAGUCGGAAUCGCUAGUAAUCGUGGAUCAGCAUGUCACGGUGAAUACGUUCCCGGGUCUU
rnacentral:rRNA from 1 species